UUUUGGGACAUAUCAAAAAAGACAACUCUGUUUUGCAGCGUAGCCGUUGACAUUAUAGUUGCACAGGCACUUUGUUGACUCUAGAGAACCUCGGGCCAAUUGCACAUCCCUGUGGUGGCGACUUUGCAUGCGGAUGUCAUCCAUAUCAACUUUCGAUGCCAGUUUCUGCGCCUACCAUGGUGACCAUGGGUAACAGGGAAUCAGGGUUCCAUUCCAUACAGGGACCCUGAGAAACGGCUACCACAUGCAAGAAAGGCAGCAGGCGCGCAAAUGACCCACUCCUGACGCGGGAAUGUAGUGAUGA